CCUACGGGAGGCAGCAGUGGGGAAUAUUGGACAAUGGGCGAAAGCCUGAUCCAGCCAUGCCGCGUGUGUGAAGAAGGCCUUCGGGUUGUAAAGCACUUUCAGUGGGGAAGAAAGCCUUGGGGCUAAUACCCUCGAGGAAGGACAUCACCGACAGAAGAAGCACCGGCUAACUCCGUGCCAGCAGCCGCGGUAAUACGGAGGGUGCGAGCGUUAAUCGGAAUUACUGGGCGUAAAGCGCGCGUAGGCGGUCUGAUAAGCCGGUUGUGAAAGCCCCGGGCUCAACCUGGGAACGGCAUCCGGAACUGGCAGGCUAGAGUGCAGGAGAGGAAGGUAGAAUUCCCGGUGUAGCAGUGAAAUGCGUAGAGAUCGGGAGGAAUACCAGCGGCGAAGGCGGCCUUCUGGACUGACACUGACGCUGAGGUGCGAAAGCGUGGGUAGCAAACAGGAUUAGAUACCCCAGUAGUC
rnacentral:rRNA from 1 species